AUGGAUUGUUCAAGCCUGCGUAGGAAGCAGUCCUGCCCUGUGAAUGUCUGUCUCCUCCUUGUAGCCUGGCAAAGGCCCCGCCACAGCAGGCAGAAGCCAGGUUCAUUGGGUGGGGAUGAACUAGCCAGGUGCAGGAAUCUUGGACUUAGGCACAGGGCCAGUCUUGUUAAGUUGCUACACGAAGACAACAAAUGAAUAAAAAUCAGGAGCAUUAACCCA
rnacentral:lncRNA from 1 species